UAUUGUAUGUUUGUGCUUUAAUUAUUAUGGCAAACAGUUGCAAUAGCUGUUUUUGUUGACGAUAUUGUCGGCUUGUGGACCCCGCCUCCUUUUGCAGAUUAACCAAUCAGUAGACGAUCGCCGUCAAAUAGAUGUUUGUAGUUUGCAGAAUGGAAAGAACCUUGCAGCGAAAAUUAUUUUCACUUCUCUGUGAAAAUCUAACCAGAAAACUCCCCUGUCAAUUACAAGAUACAGUAUGCCAUUCCAGCUUUGAUGAAAUAAAGUAAUGGUUUGAUUUGGAGAGCUUUAUUAUUAUAGACAGGGAUGAUGACCUGCAGUAGAAAGUUCCUUAUAACUCAUCAUGGCCAUUAUGGAAGAUCUGAUUAAAAUUUGUUUAGAAAGCCACCAAAUAUGUCCAUGAAAAGUAGAAAAAAGACAGCAAUUCUAUAUAAUUUACAUAUAUGUACUAAGCAGAAGCAUUGACUGUUUCAAGACCAAAUGAAUUGGAAUUUAGUGUUUUGAUGCUGAGAGACAGAGGAAAAUUAUCUAGACAAUUUAGCUUCUUUUUCAUCAUCAAUUGUAUCACUGAAGUUGAUGUUUACAAUCUUAAAGAGCUUUUACCUCAGUUAAAAUGAAUUCUAAAUACGGACAGUUUGGAGAUUUGUGAAUUUUCUUACAAUUGGAGUUUCAAAAAAGGAUUUCAUUUAACAAAAUUAUAUUUCAUGGAUGUAAUUUGUAGUUUCUUUCAUGAAAUAUUUGAAAAAUCUGCAAUACAUUUGUAUCUGACCAAGUGAGAGAUCUACAAAUAGACAUAUGAUAUUCAGUUGAACUGUAAAGAAGGAGAUAUUCAUUUAUAAGACUUA